rnacentral:rRNA from 1 species
AUUGAACGCUGGCGGCGUGCCUAAUACAUGCAAGUCGAACGGAGUGGCGCACGGGUGAGUAAUAUAUAUCUAAUCUUCCCCUUUCUGGGGGACAACAGUUAGAAAUGACUGCUAAUACUCCAUAGCAAGGGAUGAGACUAUAUCGUAUCAGCUAGUCGGUGGGGUAACGGCCUACCGAGGCUAUGACGCGUAACUGGUCUGAGAGGAUGAGCAGUAACAUUGGACGUGAGACACCGUCGAAACACAUACGGGAGGCGGCAGUAGGGAAUAUUGCGCAAUGGGGGAAUACCUGACGCAGCAACGCCGCGUGGAGGAUGACAAUUUUCGGAGAGUAAACUCAUUUUGUUAGGGAAGCGGUACCUAACGAAUAAGCACCGGCUAACUCCGUGCCAGCAGCCGCAGUAAUAC